GACGAACGCUGGCGGCGUGCUUAACACAUGCAAGUCGAACGGAAAGGCCUGCAGCUUGCUGCGGGUACUCGAGUGGCGAACGGGUGAGUAACACGUGGGUGAUCUGCCUUGCACUUCGGGAUAAGCUUGGGAAACUGGGUCUAAUACCGGAUAGGACAGCUGUUUAGUGUCAGUUGUGGAAAGUUUUUUCGGUGCAAGAUGAGCUCGCGGCCUAUCAGCUUGUUGGUGGGGUAAUGGCCUACCAAGGCGUCGACGGGUAGCCGGCCUGAGAGGGUGUACGGCCACAUUGGGACUGAGAUACGGCCCAGACUCCUACGGGAGGCAGCAGUGGGGAAUAUUGCACCAUGGGCGGAAGCCUGAUGCAGCGACGCCGCGUGGGGGAUGAAGGCCGUCGGGUUGUAAACUCCUUUCGACAGGGACGAAGCUUUUGUGACGGUACCUGUAGAAGAAGCACCGGCUAACUACGUG
rnacentral:rRNA from 1 species